CAGCAGAGUUGGAAAAGAGAAAAGGAAUGGCCUUUAAGUGGGAGAACGGAUAGAACCUGGAGGCUGGUUAAUGCGGAGGGAACAGGAAAAGAGUCAAAUAUGACUGAAUGGUUUUGGACCUGGUU